rnacentral:misc_RNA from 1 species
GAUGAAGAACGUAGCGAAAUGCGAUACUUGGUGUGAAUUGCAGAAUCCCGUGAACCAUCGAGUCUUUGAACGCAAGUUGCGCCCGAAGCCACUAGGCCGAGGGCACGCCUGCCUGGGCGUCACACGUCGUUGCCCCCCCAUCUACUCCUUCGGGAUUGCGGGGGGGCGGAUGAUGGCCUCCCGUGCGCCUAGCCGCGCGGUUGGCAUAAAUACCAAGUCCUCGGCGACGCACGCCACGACAAUCGGUGGUUGCGAAACCUCGGUUGCCCGUCGUGUGCGUUCGUCGCGCAUCGAGGGCUCGAAAAAAUGCUCGGCUUCGGCUCGGCUUUCAAUGCGACCCCAGGUCAGGCGGGGUUACCCGCUGAAUUUAAGCAUAUCAAUAAGCGGAGGA